rnacentral:rRNA from 1 species
AGAACGAACGCUGGCGGCAUGCCUAACACAUGCAAGUCGAACGUGAUCCAGGCUUCGGCCUGGUGAAAGUGGCAGACGGGUGAGUAACGCGUGGGAACCUGCCCUGUGGUAGGGAAUAACCGUGGGAAACUGCGGCUAAUACCCUAUGAGUCCUUCGGGAGAAAGAUUUAUCGCCAUAGGAGGGGCCCGCGUCGGAUUAGGUAGUUGGUGGGGUAACGGCCUACCAAGCCUUCGAUCCGUAGCUGGUCUGAGAGGAUGAUCAGCCACACUGGGACUGAGAUACGGCCCAGACUCCUACGGGAGGCAGCAGUGGGGAAUAUUGGACAAUGGGGGCAACCCUGAUCCAGCAAUGCCGCGUGGAUGAUGAAGGCCUUCGGGUUGUAAAGUCCUUUCGGCGGGAAGAUGAUGACGGUACCCGCAGAAGAAGCCCCGGCUAACUUCGCGCCAGCAGCCGC